UAGAGAUGAGCCCGCGUCCGAUUAGCUAGUUGGUAGGGUAAAGGCCUACCAAGGCGACGAUCGGUAGCUGGUCUGAGAGGAUGAUCAGCCACAAUGGGACUGAGACACGGCCCAUACUCCUACGGGAGGCAGCAGUGGGGAAUUUUACGCAAUGGGCGAAAGCCUGACGUAGCGACACCGCGUGAGCGAAGAAGCCCUUUGGGGUGUAAAGCUCUGUCGGCUGGAACGAAAAAAAUGACGGUACCAGCAAAGGAAGCAUCGGCUAACUACGUGCCAGCAGCCGCGGUAAGACGUAGGAUGCGAGCGUUGUCCGGAUUUAUUGGGCGUAAAGAGUUCGUAGGUGGCUUGUCAAGUUUGAUGUUAAAGAUCGGGGCUCAACCCUGGGACUGCAUUGAAUACUGGCAGGCUUGAGUGUGGUAGAGGCUAGUGGAAUUCCCAGUGUAGCGGUGAAAUGCGUAGAUAUUGGGAAGAACACCGGUGGCGUAGGCGACUAGCUGGGCCAUAACUGACACUGAGG
rnacentral:rRNA from 1 species